AACGGUCAUUCCAUGCUGAAUAUACCGGUUCUCGUUCUAUCACCGAAGUCAAGUAUCAUUGGGCGCGGUCAGUACUUGGGUGGGUGACCACCUGUGAGCACCGCAUGCCGU
rnacentral:rRNA from 1 species